GAUGAACGCUGGCGGCGUGCCUAAUACAUGCAAGUCGAGCGAACAGACGAGGAGCUUGCUCCUCUGACGUUAGCGGCGGACGGGUGAGUAACACGUGGAUAACCUACCUAUACGACUGGGAUAACUUCGGGAAACCGGAGCUAAUACCGGAUAAUAUAUUGAACCGCAUGGUUCACUAGUGAAAGACGGUUUUGCUGUCACUUAUAGAUGGAUCCGCGCCGCAUUAGCUAGUUGGUAAGGUAACGGCUUACCAAGGCAACGAUGCGUAGCCGACCUGAGAGGGUGAUCGGCCAGACUGGAACUGAGACACGGUCCAGACUCCUACGGGGGGCCGCAGUAGGGAAUCUUCCGCAAUGGGCGAGAGCCUGACGGAGCAACGCCGCGUGAGGGAUGAAGGUCUUCGGAUCGGAAAACUCUGUUAUUAGGGAAGAACAAAUGUGUAAGUAACUAUGCACGUCUUGACGGUACCUAAUCAGAAAGCCACGGCUAACUACGUG
rnacentral:rRNA from 1 species